GGCCUAGUGGUCUAGGGGUAUGAUUUGCGCUUUGGGUGUUAUUUUCCAGGUUCCGUUUGAAUUUCGGAAAUCCUUGAAUGGUUAAUUAAUAAACAGAUAUGCGCGAGGUCCCGGGUUCAAAUCCCGGCUGGGCCC
rnacentral:tRNA from 1 species